GCAUUGCAUCAGCACCCUGGCCACUGGGGAAGACUAGCUACAGGGGCACAAACAGUCAUGUUGUCUGUAAAUGGACAGGGUUGUGUAACUUGAGACCUCAGCCUUGCUGUGAUACUACCAGCCAUUUAAACUUCUCGACACAGAAGAUGCGAUCUAUCGAUCCCUGAAUGCGCUCCCCAUCGACUCCGGAACUCAACCGGAGCUAGCGGCGGUAGCGGACUCCAUGGGGAAGCCGUGGACAUUAAUCCCGCGCCGUGAGGACCCGAGGUAAAUCGAUCUAAGAUACUUCGACUUCAGCUAUGCUAUUCAUCAUCCCUAAGAGUGGGAAGGCAAGAGAAAA